UCUCGGUAUGUUGAACUUCUAUAGAAAG
rnacentral:piRNA from 1 species